UACGGAGGGUGCGAGCGUUGUCCGGAAUCAUUGGGCGUAAAGGGCGCGUAGGUGGCGGGACAAGCGUGCGGUGAAAGCUCGGGGCUCAACCCCGAGUCGGCCGUGCGAACUGUUUUGCUUGAGCACUGUAGAGGCAGGCGGAAUUCCGGGUGUAGCGGUGGAAUGCGUAGAGAUCCGGAAGAACACCGGUGGCGAAGGCGGCCUGCUGGGCAGUAGCUGACACUGAGCGCGACAGCGUGGGGAGCAAACAGG
rnacentral:rRNA from 1 species